UUGGGAAACUUCCACAGGGACCAAAAAUUAAAACACAAGCAAUAAAAUAUGCAAUCAAAUACACUGCCAACUUUGAUUGCAUAUUUUAUUGGUUGUGUUUUAAUUUUUGGUCCCUGAGGAAGUUUCCCA